rnacentral:tRNA from 1 species
GGCCCAAUGGUCUAGUGGUAUGAUUCUCGCUUUGGGUUCAAUCGUCUCCAGAUUGCGAGAGGCCCCGCGUUCGAAUCGCGGUUGGGCCC